rnacentral:lncRNA from 1 species
GAAAUGCCCUCCGCCCUUGUGUUCUCGUUUUCAUGCUCAUAUGGAGGCCUGGCCUGUCCGUUUCAGACCCCCACAUUUCCUAAACAUGCAUCCCAGACCAGGGCCUAAUCCUCUGGGGCAAAAACAACGGCAGCAGAGUGCUCCCCAACCUCAAAGAUGUCCAGAUGUCAAGAGUAACCAAAAUGUGGAUAAUUCCAGCAGGAGUCAAUUCAGUGUGGUUCUCCCGCAUGUACCUGGAUGCCCUAAUCCAAGUAGAGCUUCUCCAGAACCUCCAACAAGUCCUUCUCUGACACUCAAGUUUGUUGAUCACCCUCAGAAAUCCCAAACCUCCAAUACACACUUACAACUGACAGAUGAGGAAGAAGAUGCAUGCUCUGCUCCACAAAAUCUGAAUAAAGGGCACCAUGAAAUGGCUGAAGAGGAGACAAUGACCCCAACAACUCUAUCCACCCCGACAACCCCAAGCAUCCCAGCCACCCCAACUACUCCUGGCACCCAAAGUACUCCAAGUAGCCCAAUUACUCCAGUCACACCAACUUCAUCUGUGACCCCAAAUUCUCUUUCCAGUUUUAGCUGCCCUUCAUCAAGCCAGUUCAGCCGUAGCACCGACCUGAACAGUAGCUUCUCAGAUGCCCUGUCAGUGAGCUUCAGUGUUGACCAUUGUGAAGACAAUAGUACAGAUGACAAAGAUAACCAUGCUUCUGACCUUGACCAGAAUAAUUAUUAUCAAGAGGGCUGCUCUACUUCUCUUCCCGAGCUUCACUUUAGCUCUGCAGGAAGUUGCAGUCAGGCCAGCUCACGAAUGGACGUCCUUCAAGCACGUCUCUCCAGAUCUCUCACCUCCUGCAAACAAGAAACACCUUCCACUUGCCUGCCAGACACUCCAAUUUACACCUCCAAUACCCCUCAAUCUCAGCAAAACCUGGUCGUCCUACAGUCCACAAAUGAAACCUUGCAUAGAUGCCCUGGAUCCAGUCGGUCUGGCCUGAGUAUUCAUUCACAAAAACCUGAUUGCUCAACAGUGGACAGUCGAUCAGAAUGGAACCUUUGGCCUGUGCUUCCUCCCAUCAUGCCACGGCAGGAUGAACUGCAAGGUGAGUUUAAACAUAAACACAUUGUUCUAAACAUAAGCUAAUUAUA